rnacentral:rRNA from 1 species
GUCUAUGGCCAUGCCACUCUGAAAGUGCUCAAUCUCAUCUGAUCUUGGAAGCUAAGCAGGGUCCUGCCUGGUUAGUACUUGGAUGGUAGACCACCUACAAAUGCCAGGUGCUGUAGGAG